rnacentral:tRNA from 1 species
GGAAGUGUGGUCGAGCGGUUUAAGGCACCGGUCAUGAAAGCCGGCGCUGGGCGACUCUCAGAGAGUUGGAAUCUCACCACUUUCUCCA